CAUGUAUAUUUAAGUCUAUAUUUAGAGGCGUCUAGCGUACAUUUUGGUAACGAGAACUUAUCUAUAUCCUUAUAUUAGAAGUUUAAACAAGCAGCAUAUAGUUUCAUUUCAAAUAUGGAUAUUAAGGAAUUAUUUGGUACAUAAGUUAAAUUUCGUCACCACUCAAACAGAAAAAUGGCUCGGAACCUGAUAAUGGGUUACUACUACUGUAACCUUGGACACAGUCAUAGUUCAGACACGGAGGUCAUACAGUGCAAUAACAUUGAAGAAGAAAAUCUGGAAUAAUAAACGUAGUUAGACGACAUAUACUUAUGUCGUUCAUAAACCCAUGACGUAACAAUCUUGACAUUCCUUUCAAAGAAAAAAACGUGAACAUAAAUUAGAAGAACAAAGUUUGGAGCAUAAGAAACAAGAGCAGGUGAACGAAGCGAAACGAAUAGAGCUGGAGGAGAAAAGACUGAAGAUAGAAAUUGAAAAGAUUGAACAAGAGAAACAGAGAGAACGAAUGAGACAUGAGGAGAAUAUGGCAAAACUAGAGGUGGAGAAAAUGAAAGCAGAAAACCAAAAGAACGAAUCAAAGAAUCCGCCUAAAUCUAAAAUAUGUGUACUAUCCUAGCCAUGAAAGAACUUCAUUUACCACCAGGAACAUGUUUAUAUGUUAUGGAACAUUGUUAGUGUUAACUUACGUUUAUUUGCUAAUCAAGGUGAUUCCAUUACUUUCCAUUCAUAACGUGAGCUGAGUUUCUUUAUGUGAGCGUCAUUGGAGCGAAGUCUAAAUUCCAUUUUCUAAAUACUAGUAGUGUGUGAAAUAACGUUUGUUUCUCAUUUGUCAUUCUGUUAUAUUUAAUGAUUAUCAAGUAUUAAAAUUGUUAUUAAUUUUUUA